ensembl:snoRNA
CUGCAGAGAGUUAUCCCUCUCUGAGCUGCCGUGCUCUCUGAGGGAGUCGCUCUGCUACAUGAAUCUCU